UCUCCCUCUAUAAAGCUCACUUGGCCGGCCACUCCACCUCCCUUUGCUCUCAUUUUUCACUCCCCACUCCUUCCUCCACUCACUCCCAUCCCUCUCCUACCUCUUCUCCACGAGCUGCUGCUCCCCCUUGCUCACAUGGCCGGCCAUGGCCAUGAAGAUCCACCAAGAUGAAGCUCCCCUCCUCCCUCAAGCUUCCCCUCACCAUGAGAGCAUCCCUCUCCUUCUUCUCCCCAACCCUAGAUGGAUUUCUCUCCUCUUCUUCUUCCUCCAUUGCUAAGAUUGGAUCUUGAUGCAGGUGCAUGUUGGUCCAAGCAUGGAGAAGCUUGAGCUAUCCUCAGAUCUGAAGUUCUUGAGCAAAAUCCAAAUCGAGUGAUUCAAAGUUCCGCAGAUAGAUACGGAAAAGAUCUACAACUUGGCAUUGGUCUCAUCCUCAAAUUCGUUACGGAUUGUCCGUGGUGAAAGCCCUCUUCAAUACCUUCAUUUUGGCGGUAGUUUCACUUCGAUUGACCUCCUGAAACUGAAAUGGUUCACAGAUCAAGAUCUGGUCAGAUCUGACUUUGUCGAAUUAAACCAGGAGCUUGGGAACGAAUCUUUGAGUGAAACAAAUUGGGUAAGAACCACCUAUUCAAUACCUUUCAGAUGCAGCUGACCUCAUAUUUUUGUGAUUGAUGUACGAUUUGUGGUGAAUUAAACUUGUUCUGUGUGUUCUGCAGACAUGGCUGU